UCAGGAAAGGAUUUAAAACUGUAGCAUGAAGUGAAAUUUUUGAAUGACUGUGGAUUUUGUUUAUCCGUUGUGCUUGUUCUCCCUACAUCAGUGAUGAUAAGAUAUUGUCAAAAUAAUAUUUUUCCAUACUAUAAAGGCAAAAUAAAAGCAAGGACAUAUGUUCUAAUAAAAAGUUACGUUUAGACGUUUAUUCCACUUUUUGAAAUAUAUUGAAGGAGGGUCCCAGAAGCUGAAAAUCUGAUGCUCAGCACUGUCGCCCCACCCUACUGCCUCCAGACUAAGUGCAGUGUUUAUUUCUACACACCCUCUAGCUUCAUUAAGCAAAACCACACAUCUGUCUCACAAAGAGACAGAGGACCUAGUGUGAAACACUCCCACUUUUCAUGUUUGG
rnacentral:lncRNA from 1 species